rnacentral:ncRNA from 14 species
GUCCGAAUAGCUCAGCUGGAUAGAGCAAUAGCCUUCUAAGCUAUCGGUCGGGGGUUCGAAUCCCUCUUCGGACG